rnacentral:rRNA from 1 species
GGAGGUGGCAAACGUUGCUCGGAGUCACUGGGCUUAAAGGGCGUGUAGGCGGCUUCUUAAGUCGGAUGUGAAAGACCUCGGCUCAACCGAGGAAUGGCAUCCGAUACUGAGGGGCUAGAGUGCGAGAGGGGCAAGUGGAACUCCAGGUGUAGCGGUGAAAUGCGUAGAUAUCUGGAGGAACGCCGGUGGCGAAAGCGACUUGCUGGCUCGCAACUGACGCUGAGGCGCGAAAGCCAGGGGGGAGCGAACGGGAUUAGAUACCCCGGUAGUCCUGGCCCUAAACGAUGAGCACUUGGCUGUGGUCUGAUCCACAUGGUCACAGCCGGAGCGAAAGUGAUAAGUGCUCCGCCUGGGGAGUACGGUCGCAAGGCUG